GGUUCUGUAGCUCAGUCGGUAGAGCAAUGGACUGAAAAUCCAUGUGUCGUCGGUUCAAUUCCGACCGGAACCACCA
rnacentral:tRNA from 2 species